CCUACGGGUGGCAGCAGUGAGGAAUAUUGGUCAAUGGGCGCGAGUCUGAACCAGCCAAGCCGCGUGAGGGAUGACGGCUCUAUGAGUUGUAAACUUCUUUUGUCGGAGAGUAAAUCCCGGUACGUGUGUCGGUUGGAGAGUAUCCGACGAAUAAGCAUCGGCUAACUCCGUGCCAGCAGCCGCGGUAAUACGGAGGAUUCAAGCGUUAUCCGGCUUUAUUGGGUUUAAAGGGUGCGUAGGCGGUUCGUUAAGUUAGCGGUGAAAUUCCGGGGCUCAACUCCGGCGGAGCCUUUGAAACUGGCGGGCUUGAGUGGAGGUGAGGUACGCGGAAUGCAUGGUGUAGCGGUGAAAUGCAUAGAGAUCACGCAGAACACCGAUUGCGAAGGCAGCGUACC
rnacentral:rRNA from 1 species